AAAAGAAUUAUUUGAUCAAAAUAAAGGGAAAGGUUUUUAAGCGAAAAUAGAUGUAAAAUUUUAAAUAGGGGGAUGGUUUAAAAAAUUACAAAAUAUUUUCAGUAUUUAAAAUUAAAAGAGUUAUUGGGGGGUAACUUUAGUCAAUUUAAAAUACAAUAGGAGUAAAAUGAUGUGCCAGCAUUCGCGGUUACACAUCGUCCUUUGAUCUUUAUUUUUAAUUAGGAGAAUAGUAUAGUAAUUUAUUGAAAUUUAUUUUAAUGGGGGUGGAAUAAAUUAAAAUUUAUUAUAUAUAUAAAUUCUUCGAAAUUUUGGGUUUAAACUAGGAUUAGAUACCCUAUUAUUUAAAUUUAAGUAACUUUUUUUUAGGAUUUUAGUUACAUAAAAAAUUAAAUUGAUUUGGCGGUUUAUUAAACUUUUUAGAGGAACCUGUAGAUUAAAUUGAUAAACCACGAUUUUUGUUACUUAAAUUUUCUUGUAUAUCUCUAUAAGUGAAUAUAUUUUAAGAUGAAUUUUCUUAUUUAAAUUUUUUUACAUUAAUUUAGGUCAAGGUGCAGUUAUAUUAAAGUUUUAAUGGGUUACAUUAAUAUAUGUUUGUGGACGAUAAAUUAAAUUAAGGUUAAAUUGGAUUUAAAAGUAAAUAAUUUGAUUAAAAUUUUUGAAUAAUGCUCUGAUUUAUGUACAUAUCGCCCGUCAUUCUCAUAAAUUGAGACAAGUCGUAACAAAGUAGAUGUAUUGGAAAAUGUAUCUAG
rnacentral:ncRNA from 1 species